rnacentral:rRNA from 1 species
GGUACCUACGGGAGGCAGCAGUGGGGAAUAUUGCACAAUGGGGGGAACCCUGAUGCAGCGACGCCGCGUGGGUGAGGAAGUACUUCGGUAUGUAAAGCCCUAUCAGCAGGGAAGAAAAUGACGGUACCUGACUAAGAAGCCCCGGCUAACUACGUGCCAGCAGCCGCGGUAAUACGUAGGGGGCAAGCGUUAUCCGGAUUUACUGGGUGUAAAGGGAGCGCAGACGGCGUGCCAAGCCUGGUGUGAAAGGCCGGGGCUCAACCCCGGGACUGCAUAGGACACUGGCAUGAUGGAGUGCGGGAGGG